rnacentral:other from 2 species
UUGUCCCUGCCGUGUUCGUGACUCGGCCAUACAUUCUCUGAACCUAUGUCUUACGGCAUAUGGUUGCGUGAAUGGCGAGCUGGAGCGAUCGUCUCUCGCAGACGAACCCGACGCUCGACGGAACGCGACCACCUUGAACCUUACGGUUCGAGAUGCCGGCCUAGACGGCACAGGCGGGGCAUCU